AUGUAGAAAGAAGAGACAUGGGGGAUGGAGUGUUAACCGGCACGUGCACAAUCGAUGCAAUGGGGAAAUGCUGAAACUGCAGAGGAAAGAAAAUAUCUACCACGAUUCUCCAAGUUUGAUUUUCCUGUUCUUUGGUGGUAUACAUGACUCCUUUGGAUGGUUAAACUGUUGUGAACACUUUUUCAGGCAAUAAAGUAUGUUGGAGGAGGGCAAGGUUGACCUAGCUUCAUUCAAUUUGGAGGGUAGUGCAAAAGACUGGUUCCUCAAGUUGGAGAGGGGAUCGUCCAGAGUGUCAAAGAAUGAAGAUGAUCUACGUGGUCAACAAUCCACAUCAGCAGAAUGCACACGUGGUGGAUACUUAGACAGGAAAGGAAAGGCAAAGGUGGCGGAGUUGCCACGUCAGGAGAGUGAAGGUCGUCUCCCUCCAGCUAAGAAGCAGCAAUACAGAAACCGUUGAGGGUUUAUCACCGUGUCUGGCAAUCAUUGGUGACCUACUGAUGUGUUAAUGAUUUCACACAUAUUCCUUGUAAUCGAUUGUGCAGUGCGUGAUAUACUUAUCGCGUUAUUGCUUCUAUUUAUUUUAUUUUUUUCGAAUAUAUUUAUUUACUUUAUGUAAAAUGGAGGUAAGCAGCUCCCUUAAAAUAUUGUAACUUCUUCUUCAAUAAAUAUAUACAGAAG
rnacentral:lncRNA from 1 species